UACAGAGGGGGCAAGCGUUGUUCGGAAUUACUGGGCGUAAAGGGCGCGUAGGCGGCCUGUUAAGUCGAACGUGAAAUCCCCGGGCUCAACCCGGGAACUGCGUCCGAUACUGGCAGGCUUGAAUCCGGGAGAGGGAUGCGGAAUUCCAGGUGUAGCGGUGAAAUGCGUAGAUAUCUGGAGGAACACCGGUGGCGAAGGCGGCAUCCUGGACCGGCAUUGACGCUGAGGCGCGAAAGCCAGGUGAGCAAACGGG
rnacentral:rRNA from 1 species